CGGAGGAUACAUCAAAACUCCNGUUUUAACGGUGUUGUCUGAGCCACAAGCAACGAAUUAAAACUUUCAACAACGGAUCUCUUGGUUCUGGCAUCGAUGAANAACGCAGCGAAAUGCGAUAAGUAGUGUGAAUUGCAGAAUUCAGUGAAUCAUCGAAUCUUUGAACGCACAUUGCGCCCCUUGGUAUCCCGAGGGGCAUGCCUGUUCGAGCGUCAUUUCACCAUUCAAGCCUGGCUUGGUAUUGGGCGACGUCCCCUUUGGGGACGCGCUUCGAAACGCUCGGCGGCGUGGCACCGGCUUUAAGCGUAGCAGAAUCUUUCGCUUUAAAAAUCGGGGCCCCGUCUGCCGGAAGACCUACUCAAGGUUGACCUCGGAUCAGGUAGGGAUACCCGCUGAACUUAAGCAUAUCAAUAAGCGGAGGA
rnacentral:rRNA from 1 species